AACCUCUCAGGACUGCACCUGGAGAGUUUCCAGUAGUCUACCAGUCUCUACUACAAGAGGGAGAGUCAGGCAGAGACUUACCCAUUCCAUUCCUAGCUUGGGCAGUGGCUAGUGAAUGGAAGGCAAUCUCCUACAAGU